CAGCUCACCUUCUCACCACUCCCGAGUUCAUUUCCUCCCUCCCAUUUCUCUCGCUGCAGCAGUCCACGCCGGGCUGCAUCAGUGAAACAAAGGACUUCUGUCCCCACAACCCAUCCCACCCCAAGGUCAGGAUUACUUAAAAGUUAACAUUAAAUAGAAAUGCAUAAGAUAAGCGACAGAUGCCUGGAAGUCUCAUGACCGGCCGAGCCAGAGUCCAGGGUCCCCUCCGCUCAAGGUAAGAGAAGCCAGAUUGCUCAGCAAAGGAAGCCAGCACAGCACCCAAAUUUGAAAUCAAGGGUCUCAAAUAACCAGACUCAGAAGUCCGACAAACCACGCUAUUUUUAAAAGGGCAGGAUUUAUUUUCAGACAGCUUGGGGAUAGGUUUCGCAGUCCCUUUCUUCAGCGCACCAUUAUUUAAAGCCUGCUCUUAGCACGGUCUAUUAAAACACUCCCACCCUUUCCUAACUUCCCUUUUCUCCCCCCUGCCGCCCCCAAAAAACAUUUUUUUUUUUUUAAAAUGUCGAACCUAAGGGCUGCAAAUAGCAGGAAGCAAUCAUCGUUUCAAAUGAAAUUGUUAAAGCCGUAAAAAAAAAACCCAACCCUGCCUACAACUGCCACGCUAUAAUGGAACUUUAAACUGCUAAUUGUACCUAUCUUUUUUAUGCAGUUUAGCCCGGCUGUGAAUUACUGCUCUGUGCCGGAGCCAAUCUCGGCGAGAGCUUUGUUAACAGGAAUAUUGGGGGGGGUUGCUGGAGGGCAACAAACAAGCGGAGAAAUUGGGGAAGGGAAAAUCAGGGAAGGCUGAUGGGGGGCUCCGAGCUUGGACGGGUGCCUAUAAGACCUGGAAUUGCGGAAAGGAGCGGAACAGAUUCGCAACAAGAAUAAAAUCCAGCCGCAACCUGAAUGCUGGCAGCACUCCCACGGGAAGAGAGGGGACAACUGGGAAACAGUCAUAUCUGGAGCACCUGGAAAAUUGGCACUGCCACCUCUUCUGAAGCCAAUAAAUCUUUCCCUCCGCUCGGGCUGCUUCCUUCUCUGCAGAUGUUGGCAAUCGGGUUUGCAGAUUUCAAAGCCAUCCAGCCCCACGCCGCGGGGAGAAAAAGCAGGUUUACGAUUGCCAAACGUGUCACCCUCCCAAGGCCUUGAGUCAACGAGUCCCCUCUCCACACCCGGAGAAGGGGAGCAAAAGAAAAGAAAAGAAAAGAAAAGAAAAACAGGGCUGCAAAGCCAUGUCAUGUCCCAGCCCGCCAGGCAAAGACCAAACAAAGCUCCUACUCGGGAAGCCAGGGCGAUUUCCCAGCCAUUGGAAUUCAUCCCCCCGGAGCGCAGGGCUGGCUGCAGCAAAGAUCUGGAGCAAAAGAUCUGCUUGGGAUUAAAAAGCGAAGGGGACACAACGCUUCUGAGCAGGGUUUCUGUAUUGCAAGCACUUUAGAAACUGCAUCCACCAGG
rnacentral:lncRNA from 1 species